UUGCUUCUCUGAUUUUGUAGAUUGAUCUGUUCUGAAAUUCGGUGUUGAGAUGCUGAUUUCAUUUUCGUGUCUGCAAAAAACAAGUGUGUGCAGGAGAUGAAGGUAGGAAAGGGGAAUAAGAUGUUGUGUGGGCUUGUGUAGUUCCAGGAGCUGCCGGUUUAUUUCUGGAAAUUUAUUCUCAUCCACAACAGCAGCGAGUGACACCUCCCUCAGGAGACUGUGCAGGGAAAUGGGAAGGAGAUGCUGUGUGGGCUUGUGUAGUUCCAGGAGCUGCCGGUUUAUUUCUUGAAUUUUAUUCUCAGCCACAGCAGCUUCGAGUGACACCCCCCUCAGAUGGGUUCUCCCCGACAGUUGAAAGGGAGGGUCAAGUCUUUCUCGGUAGAGACCACUCAAGAGGCAUGGCGAUUCGACGUGACCUCAAUCACAGGUGUUGCACCUGCAACGGUGCCUGUCCAAGGCAAUGAACAGCCACAUAUGGAUUGUAGACCAGCGCCACGCAAAUCUGGUACAGGUACUUCCGUGCCUGUAGAUGUUCCGAAUAAAAGGGGUCGUGUUUCUGCCACGUCUUCAGCCCCUAUGGACAGCGAUGAUGAUGAUUUCGUUCCUGCAAAGAAGCACCAAGCUUGUAGUACUAGUGCUGACAAGCUUCAAAAAAAAACUUGUUGCUGAUGCUGCUGCUUCUUCCAAGCCUCCCCGCCACAAUGUUAAUAUUCCACGCCACCCUGCUGUUCGAUGUGAGCCAGCCAUCUUCAACCAAUUUACCGAGCACCUCACAAUGUCUCAACGUCGCAAGAUUUCUGAGAUGGGUUUUGGGGGACUCUUGCAAAUUUCUGCAGAUCGGUUGGAGACUAGUGCCCUUCUAGUAUUUUUGAUGGAUAAGUUGAAUCCAGAUUCAAUGGUUAUUGAUAUUGGACAUGAGAAUGGCCUGCAAAUUAAUCAAAUUAUCGUCAACAAGGUUCUUGGUAUACCAUAU